rnacentral:tRNA from 1 species
GGGGACGUAGCUCAAUUGGUAGAGCAGCCGCGCAGCACUCGUGCUGAGCGGAAGAUGGGGGUUCAAGUCCUCGCGUCUCCACCA